ACUCCUACGGGAGGCAGCAGUGGGGAAUCUUAGACAAUGGGCGCAAGCCUGAUCUAGCCAUGCCGCGUGAGUGAAGAAGGCCUUAGGUCGUAAGCUCUUUCACCAGGGAAGAUAAUGACGGUACCUGGAGAAGAAACCCCGGCUAACUCCGUGCCAGCAGCCGCGGUAAUACGGAGGGGUUUAGCGUUGUUCGGAAUUUACUGGGCGUAAAGCGCGCGUAGGCGGACCAGAAAGUUGGGGUGAAAUCCCGGGGCUCAACCCCGGAACGGCCUCCAAAACUCCUGGUCUGGAGUUCGAGAGAGGUGAGUGGAAUUCCGAGUGUAGAGGUGAAAUUCGUAGAUAUUCGGAGGAACACCAGUGGCGAAGGCGGCUCACUGGCUCGAUACUGACGCUGAGGUGCGAAAGUGUGGGAGCAAACAGGAUUAGAUACCCUGGUAGGUCAGUC
rnacentral:rRNA from 1 species